GGUUGAUCCUGCCAGUAGUCAUACGCUAAACUCAAAGAUUAAGCCAUGCAUGUCUCAGUACAGCCUAGACAAAGUGAAACCGCAAACAGCUCAUUAAAUCAGUUGUAACUUCCUUGCUUCAGAGUUUCUUAAAUGGAUAACUGUGGUAAAUCUAGAGCUAAUACAUGAAAACUUGUCCUACUGGCAACAGUAGGUCGCAUUUUAUUGGACCCAGAUCAUAGGCUGUCUUCGGGCAGCUUUUACAUCAGAGGUGACUCUAGAUAACAUUCAGCUAUCAUUCAAGUCCUCUUUG
rnacentral:rRNA from 1 species